rnacentral:sRNA from 1 species
CGAGCUGGAAGGUCUCUGCGAAAUGCCAAUAGCGGAGAAGAAAUAUUAGUCGUCAACUUCGUUGAGUUCCCAAAAAAGCUCGCAAAGCAUUUUAGAUAAAUUUUUUCAGUUUCAGUAUUAACACGAACAAAUAUUUUCGAAUGCGCUGUCCUUAAUGGCUCAACAACGUUUUUAAAUGAAAAAUCAUUAGUUAUAUUAAUUGAUGCAAAUUGAGGCAAUUUUAUUCGCUUUUAAUUAAAUAAACAAAAAUAUGAACAUGGAAAUACAAAUGAUGAAAUAAUGACCACGUCACGCAAGAUUACAGAAGCUCUGCUGGAUUGUGUACGACAGCCACGCAAAGUGCAGCAGCGACCUAAGGUGAUGACGAACAUAAUAAAUGUUUUAGUUACAUAUUUGUGGUUACAUAUUUGUGGUAAAAAUAGAUGCGUCUGAGCGUCCAGCUAAAUUAAUUCCACAUUGGCGUCCAGACAAAUGAGAACGAGUAAGUCAUGAUUAAAUUAUUAACCUCACGAAUCUCCUGUACACUCUGCAGAAAUUGUGGCAAUGGUUUUCUUUAAAUCUAAGAGCUGGUGCGGCACAUGAAUAAACAGAUGAAUCGACCUUAUGCCCCGCUUCCUUCACCGAUCGUUGAACUACGAGCAAGCAUCAUUAUAUUGUUGUUAUUAUAUUGUUAACACCCAUAAAAUGCGAUUGCAUCAUGUGUCGCAUAAGAAACGUGAAACUUGUUGACUUGGACAUGCAAACGCAAAAACCUAUUAAAAAUGAAAUGGUUAUCGUGUUGAAUGAGUUAAAAUUGAUUAUGUAAGAUUAUAUUAGUAACAUUUAAUCAAAUAACUUUGCCUGGUUAAAACCGAUU